ACAUCAAUCCACACGGUUCUUCGAACCAUUUUUUUUUUCCACACAGAUUAAAUUGGUAAAAGACCAGAACACAGAUCGCUCUCGCGCUUUCCCUUAAUCAAUCAUUUUUCUUACCAUGAAGAUUAUAGAUUUUUUCCUGAUCUCUUCACUUCUCUUCUCAAUCUCUAGGGCUGAAUCUAUUGGAUCAGUUUUCUUCAUCGACAGUCCUACUCAUCAAUUCCUUCGCGCUCCAUCCUCUAACGAUGCCUCUCAGUCAGAGCCAAUGUUGUUACCUGAAGUUGGUGCGACUGCAUCAAUCUUGCUUGGUUUUCCACCACCCAUUACACUUUCAGCUGCUGGCUCAUCUAAGCUGAAUGAGGUUCUCAUUUCUAAUCCAUUCGAUAGACCUCGUGCUGUUUUUAUGCUUGAAGUUAGUGGAGUUGAUGAUCCUCUUGUUGUUGGACCCAAGAAUGCUCUCUUCCACAAAGCCUUGAAGAGUAGUGUUGGUCUUGGUUCAAGUAAAGUGGACAUUCAGCUUCCAGAUGAAGAGCAAGUAUCUGUUAUUUCCUUGGACGAGCCUCUAAGAGAUUACACUGAAGAAGAGAUCAAUGACUUUGCAUCUUGGUUGGGUGGAUCAUAUGUACCUGAUGCUACUAAGCCACUGCAUGGAAUAUUGGCAAUUCCCUUGGAAAAUGGUGACGAUGUGGACCUUCAAAUGUCAAAGAAAGUACACAGGGAAUUUGCAUCAAAACUGUUUGCUCUGUUCCACAAUAUAAGGAAAGCAAUGCAAAUGCAUGAAGAUCUGUCACAGGCUUUGCAUAGACCUGCUGAGUUGAUAGUGGGUUCUUUUGAUGGGAUUAAGGCUUUGCAAGAGCAGCAGGAUGCUGAUGGUUUUGAUAAGCUAGGAAUGAGGCUUCUGCUUGCCACACUUCCAAAGAUCUUUGAUUCACUGCAGACAGCAUAUGAAGGUCAAAUUGUUGGAGUUUUUGUCUUUAAUGGGGCAUCUCAACCAGUAUCAAAACCAUUGAUAAAUGUGAUGUUUACCUCUCGUCCAUCUCCACGUUGGUUGGCAGAAACAAAAACUCCAACUAAUACCACCCUUGCUGCACAAGUUUUGGUUCGAAGAACCCUUGCAUGGAUAACUGGAGUUGUUCUUCUCAUCGCAACUCUCCUGGGGGUUUACUUCCUUCUCAAUAUGCCACUGACAAGGGACACACUUUUGUACUCUAAUGUCAAGCUCGACUAAGCUGAAAUAAGACAGUUUCGCAGCAGCCUGGUAUGAUUUAUCUUUUAUUACCGGGAAACUAAGGGAUAUAUUCUUAUCUAUGAAGCUGUUUUCUUUAUUGGUCAUUCAAUGAUGUUGGAUAGGUUGAUCCGGCGAACAAAAUGUUGGUUUUUUUUAGGAAUUAGUAGCUGCAUCAAGUAUAAAAUUUGGCUAUUUUCGGGUGUCAUAUGGCUAAGAGACUGCAGAUGAGACAGGAAGAUUGAGCCUUAUGAUGAUUGUAUCUAUAUGCUUUUCAAGUAUCCACAGCAUAGGGUGGAUGAUGCAGCAGUAGCAGCUGCCACCGCGGUAGCUACCUCCAACAUCACAAUGUAGGAUGCCAUCGACGUUUAUAAAAUGAAUGCAGCAAAUUAUUUGGUGGAGAUGGAAAUAAUUGCGAUGAGGAAGUUCCGAUGCAGCAAUAGUAAGGUAAGGUAUAGUGUAUUUUUUGUUGAGAAGGGCACCGACUUCAAAAAUAAAUUAAUCUUCAUAAACUAUAAAAUGAAUAUAAAGAGUAUCUCAUCCUUUAACUAUGAUGUCGGGGUUCGAUCUUCACUCAUGGGAAUGAAAUAUAUUUUAUAAUCAGUUGUUUA